rnacentral:rRNA from 1 species
GCGGAUGAACUGUGGGUAGCGGAGAAAUUCCAAUCGAACCCGGAGAUAGCUGGUUCUCCCCGAAAUAGUUUUAGGACUAGCCUCAAGUUAGAUACCUGGAGGUAAAGCACUGAAUAGCCUAGCGGCCGAGAGGUUAGCGAAGCUUAUCAAACUCAGAAUGCCAGAGUAUUGAUGCUUGGGAGUCAGACAGUGUCAGAUAAAUGUCAUUGUCAAAAGGGAAACAGCCCAGAUCUACAGCUAAGGUCCCAAAGUCAGGUUAAGUGGAAAACGAUGUGAAGAUACGCAGACAACCAGGAUGUUGGCUCAGAAGCAGCCACUCAUUCAAAGAGUGCGUAAUAGCUCACUGGUCGAGCGUCUUUGCGCGGAGAAUUUAACGGGGCUAAACCUGACACCGAAGCUUAGGCAAUGUAGUAAUACAUUGGGUAGGGGAGCGUUGUAUACGCGGUGAAACAGUAGCGCAAGCGGCUGUGGAGUGUAUAGAAGUGAGAAUGCCGGAAUGAGUAGCGCGAAUGCAGUGAGAAUCUGCAUGGCCGAAAGCCUCAGGUUUCUGGAGGAAGGUUCGUCCGCUCCAGGUUAGUCGGGAGCUAAGGUGAGGCCUAACGGCGUAGCCGAUGCACAGACGGUAGAGAUUCCGUCACCACCAAAAGAGUUAAGCACAGGGACACAUUUGAAGUCUCGGAGCCGGGUGUUGGUUCCGGUAGCGAUCGAGGGAAGUUAGUACCGAAGUCCGGGAUGGAAGAUGGCGAGAAAAGCUGUGUGUAUUUCUGCGGUGCCCGUACCGCAAACCGACACAGGUAGGUAGGAAGAAGAUUCUAAGGCCAACGGGAGAAGGGUUGUUAAGGAACUCGGCAAAUUGACCCCGUAACUUCGGGAGAAGGGGUGCUCCAGAGAUGGAGCCGCAGAGAAUCGGCCCAAGCAACUGUUUACCAAAAACACAGGUUUGUGCUAAAUCGAAAGAUGACGUAUACGAGCUGACGCCUGCCCGGUGCUGGAAGGUUAAGAGGAGAUGUGCAAGCAUUGAAUCGAAGCCCCAGUGAACGGCGGCCGUAACUAUAACGGUCCUAAGGUAGCGAAAUUCCUUGUCAGGUAAGUUCUGACCCGCAUGAAAGGCGUAAUGAUUUGGGCACUGUCUCAACAGCCCGCCCGGCGAAAUUGUAGUACCGGUGAAGAUGCCGGUUACCCGCGACAAGACGGAAAGACCCCAUGGAGCUUUACUGUAGCCUAAUAUUGGGUUUCGAUGUUGCAUGCACAGGAUAGAUGGGACACUGGGAAACAAUCGCUUUGGCGGUUGCGGAGUGGCCGUUGGGAUACCAUCCUUGCGAUAUUGGAAUUCUAACCUGCGCCUUUGAAUCAAGGCGGGGGACAUUGUUAGGUGGGCAGUUUGACUGGGGCGGUCGCCUCCUAAAAAGUAACGGAGGCGUUCAAAGGUUCGCUCAGCUUGAACGGAAAUCAAGCAAAAGAGUGCAAACGCAGAAGCGAGCCUAACUGCGAGACUGACGGGUCGAGCAGUAACGAAAGUUGGAGUUAGUGAUCCGGUGGUAUGUGAGUGGAAAUGCCAUCGCUCAACGGAUAAAAGUUACCCUGGGGAUAACAGGCUGAUCUCCCCCAAGAGUCCACAUCGACGGGGAGGUU